rnacentral:rRNA from 1 species
AGUGAACGCUGGCGGCGUGCCUAACACAUGCAAGUCGAAGGAAGUGGCGCACGGGUGAGUAAUAUAUAGCUCAUCUGCCUCUUGCUGGAGGACAACAGUUAGAAAUGACUGCUAAUACUCCAUAGCAAGGGAUGAGACUAUAUCGUAUCAGCUAGUCGGUGGGGUAACGGCCUACCGAGGGGAUGACGCGUAGCUGGUCUGAGAGGAUGAUCAGUCACAUCGGAAGUGAGACACGGUCCAAACUCAUGCGGGAGGGGGCAGUAGGGGAGAUUGCGGAAGGGGGGGGAGCGUGACGGAGCAUAGGCGGGUGGAGGAUGACACUUUUGGGGGCGUAGACGCCUGUUGAUAGGGAAGCGGUACCUAACGAAUAAGCACCGGCGAACUCCGUGCCAGCAGCCGCGGUAAUAC